UGCAGAGAAGUGGACAUGUGCAGCUGCUCUGGGAGUAGCGACAACAGCUAUGGCUGGUACCAGCAGAAGACACCUGGCAGUGCCCCUGUCACUGUGAUCUAUCAGAACACCGAGAGACCCUCAGACAUCCCUUCACGAUUCUCCGGUUCCAUAUCCGGCUCCACGCACACAUUAACCAUCGAUGGGGUCCAAGCCGAGGACGAGGCUGUCUAUUACUGUGGGAGUGCAGACAGCAGUACUGGUAUAUUCGGGCCCGGGACCACCCUGACCGUCGUAGCCCAGCCCAAGGUGGCCCCCACCCUCACCAUCUUCCCGCCAUCAAAGGAGGAGCUGGAACAGAACAAGGCCACCCUGGUGUGCCUGAUAAGCGACUUCUACCCCAGACCGGUGACUGUGGAGUGGGAGGUCGAUGGCUCCCCCAAAACUGGCGAGACCACACUGGCGCAGCGGCAGAGCAACGACCAGUACAUGGCCAGCAGCUACCUGUCACUGACUGCCAGCGACUGGUCAAGCCACGAGACCUACACCUGCAAGGUCACACACGAAGUCUCCACUGUCACGAAGAGCCUGAACAGGUCCGAGUGCUCUUAGUCCCACUGGGGAUGCGAUGUGAGGACGGUGGUUCCUCACCCUCCCUGUCCCCCUGGGCCGCUGCUGGUGGCAGCAGCCCCCACUUCCCACUCAGAUGUCCCCCACUGUGCCCCCAUCAUCCGCCUCUGCCUGUCGCCUCCUCUUGUCCCCAUCCCUCCAGAUGUCACAUUAAUAAACAUGACACUGAACUAGUGCUGACUCUGCA